GUGAGGAAUAUUGCGCAAUGGAGGCAACUCUGACGCAGCCAUGCCGCGUGCAGGAAGAAGGCGCUACGCGUUGUAAACUGCUUUUAACCGGGAAGAAACCCCAGGACGUGUCCUGGGUUGACGGUACCGGAGGAAUAAGCACCGGCUAACUUCGUGCCAGCAGCCGCGGUAAUACGAAGGGUGCAAGCGUUAUCCGGAUUCAUUGGGUUUAAAGGGUGCGUAGGCGGAGCGUUAAGUCAGUGGUGAAAUCCUGCAGCUUAACUGUAGACUGGCCAUUGAUACUGGCGCUCUUGAGUGCGCUUGAAGUGGGCGGAAUGUGCCGUGUAGCGGUGAAAUGCUUAGAUAUGGCACAGAACACCAAUUGCGAAGGCAGCUCACUAAGGCGAUACUGACGCUGAGGCACGAAAGCGUGGGGAUCGAACAGGAUUAGAUACCCUGGUAGUCC
rnacentral:rRNA from 1 species